AUGAGGAAGGCCACAAGGCUGGGCCCCCUGAAAAGCGCUUUGAUGACCGAGGUGGUGGUGGCUUCCAGGGCCGCGGGGGUGGCGGUGGCUUCCAGCGCUAUGACAACCAAGGACCCCCCUGGAGGCAACCGUGGUGGCUUCCAGAACCAAGGGGGAGGCAGCGGAGGAGGAGGCAACUACCGGGGAGGUUUCAACCGCAGUGGAGGUGGUGGCUAUAACCAGAACCGCUGGGGUAACAACAGCCGGGAUAACAACUCCAACAGAGGCAGCUACAACCAGGCUCACCAGCAACAGCCACCACCCCAGCAGCCCAGCAGCCACCACCCAGCUACAGCCCUGCUCGGAACCCCCCAGGGGCCACCACCUACAAUACGAACAGCAGCAUCCCUGGUUCGAGCCGCCAAUACCAGCACCCCCACCAUCAGCAGCUACAGCCCUCCACAGUAUGCCCAGCAGUGGAACCAGUACUAUCAGAACCAGGGCCAGUGGCCACCGUACUACGGGAACUAUGACUACAGGAGAUACUCUGGGAACACACAGGGUGGCACAAGCACACAGUAGCCAGUGUGACCCCGAGGCUCCCGGAGGCCCCUGCUGCUUCCUCCACCAGCGCCUGCCUCAGUUCCUCCUCUGCCCCCGUCAGAUCCCGUGGUGCUGGGGAUGGGGUCAUCCCAGGGCUGCCUCCCUCCAGCCCACUGCCUCCCCUCUCAGGGCUUCUUCCCCUCCACAGGGCCAGGUAGUUUUCUCUAGAUUCAAACAGGCAACAAGGACCUUUCAUUUUCCCCCCUCCCCUACCUCCCACCUCCUGUUCUUCCUACCUUCUUCCUUUUUGACUAAAUAAUGCCCCCCUUCCCUUGGUCAUACAGUGAGGCUACAGUGACUGAGGGGAGAAGCCCUUCCUGUUCACUCUCCCAACCCUGCUCCACCCUCAGCUUCCCAGACCCUCAUGCAGUUGGUGGUAGAUUCUCCCAGGAGCUGUUUUACUGUCUACUUUCCAGGAUUUAAAAAAAAAAAUCAAAACUUAAAAAAAAAAGUUUAAAAAGAAAAAUGGGGAGGAAGCAGUGGCAUAUUUUUUUGGCAAUUAUGCGCUUUUUUUAAUUUUUAGAAUUUGUCUGUUUUUACUGUGGGUCGGCUAUUGAUAUUUCAUCAAGAUAAGCAUUUCUUUCCUGAGUUCAGGUGACUGAGGAAGAGCCACAAAACAAAACACAUAAAACCAAACCACGGAAUGAUCUUGAACCUGACUUUUUAUAGGACAUCCCGGUUCCCCGUAACUUUGCACACAAAUUCUGUGUUCAGUUGAAUUGUAACUGCUCUUUGUAUUUGGAGAGAGUGUGACUAUUGAACUUGAAACCUUUUAUUCCGGGCGUCUUGGCAGUUUCUGGUGGGAUUCAGUGGCUGAGAGGGAAGAAGGGGAGCUUGGGGGCCCCUUCCCUUCAGAACUUGAAGUUUCUCCCGCUGCCUCCUCUCCAGGCAUCUCCCAGGUGCCAGACCCAAAAGCUUUUCCUACAGUGAUACCCUGUGUUUUUACUUCCCCUUGACUCAUGUUUUAACAAACUGCACUUAUUAAGAAAUGUGUUUGCCCUGUUUUGCUUGGUUUUGUUUUGUUGUCUUUGAAUAAAUGACAUGGCACCUCCUAGCA
rnacentral:lncRNA from 13 species